GCGAGUUUUAACUGAGCGUUCAGUUACUUGACGUAGACCCGAAACCGGGCGACCUACCCAUGAGCAGGAUGAAGCGAAAGUAAAAUUUCGUGGAGGUCCGAACCCACGAGCGUUGAAAAGCUCGGGGAUGACUUGUGGGUAGCGGUGAAAUUCCAAUCGAGCCCGGAGAUAGCUGGUUCUCCCCGAAAUAGCUUUAGGGCUAGCCUCAAGGUGAGAGAUACGGAGGUAGAGCACUGAAUGUCCUAGGGGGUAUUGCACCUACCGAAGACUAUCAAACUCCGAAUGCCGUCAUCUUAUACUUGGGAGUCAGACUGUGGGUGAUAAGAUUCAUAGUCGAAAGGGCAACAGCCCAGAUCGUCAGCUAAGGUCCCUAAAUGUAAGUUAAGUGGUAAAGGAUGUGGGAUUGCACAGACAACCAGGAUGUUGGCUUAGAAGCAGCCACUCAUUCAAAGAGUGCGUAAUAGCUCACUGGUCGAGUGAUCCUGCGCCGAAGAUUUCCGGGGCUAAAACUUACUACCGAAGCUACGGCAUCAGUAAUGAUGGGUAGGGGAGCUUCCCAUACGGGUUGAAGCAUGACCGUAAGGA
rnacentral:rRNA from 1 species